GACGAACGCUGGCGGCGUGCUUAACACAUGCAAGUCGAACGGUGAAGCUCCAGCUUGCUGGAGUGGAUCAAUGGCGAACGGGUGAGUAACACGUGAGCAACCUGCCCCUGACUCUGGAAUAAGCGCUGGAAACGGCGUCUAAUACUGGAUACGAGAAGGGUCCGCAUGGGCACUUUCUGGAAAGUUUUUCGGUUGGGGAUGGGCUCGCGGCCUAUCAGCUUGUUGGUGAGGUAAUGGCUCACCAAGGCGACGACGGGUAGCCGGCCUGAGAGGGCGACCGGCCACACUGGGACUGAGACACGGCCCAGACUCCUACGGGAGGCAGCAGUGGGGAAUAUUGCACAAUGGGCGAAAGCCUGAUGCAGCGACGCCGCGUGAGGGAUGACGGCCUUCGGGUUGUAAACCUCUUUCAGCAGGGAAGAAGCGAAAGUGACGGUACCUGCAGAAGAAGCACCGGCUAACUACGUG
rnacentral:rRNA from 1 species